GGGGCUAUAGCUCAGCUGGCUAGAGCGCCUGCCUUGCAAGCAGGAGGUCGCCGGUUCGAUUCCGGCUAGCUCCA
rnacentral:tRNA from 1 species